UACGGGGGGGGCAAGCGUUGUUCGGAAUUACUGGGCGUAAAGGGCUCGUAGGUGGCCAACUAAGUCAGACGUGAAAUCCCUCGGCUUAACCGGGGAACUGCGUCUGAUACUGGAUGGCUUGAGUUCGGGAGAGGGAUGCAGAAUUCCAGGUGUAGCGGUGAAAUGCGUAGAUAUCUGGAGGAAUACCGGUGGUGAAGGCGGCAUCCUGGACCGGCAUUGACGCUGAGGAGCGAAAGCUAGGGGAGCAAACGGG
rnacentral:rRNA from 1 species